AAAAAAUUCAAUCAAAAAUUUUUAUACAUCCUCUUUUCGUCUAAUAAUUAUCCACGAGAAAAAUUCUCACAUCUUAUUCUUCUUGAAUUCUAAAGUAUUUCAAAAUGAUACCUUUCCUUAAAUAGAUCAAACAGAGGUUGAAAAUUGUUCGCAUAGAAGUACGUCUAUCGUAUCCUUGUACUAUUUUUAAAUUAGUUUGUCUCGCAAGAAAACGUUACUGCAACGAAGUUGUCUCAAUGUCGAGAAAAAACGUUCGGCAGUCACCGAUCAAGAGACGAGAAAAGAAACAACGAGUUCAAACGAGACUAAACUCGACCUGGAAUACGAAGAAAAGAGAAAAUCGUUGAACAGAGGUAUUUAUUUUCGACCAAUUAGCAUCGACUGUGGCAUCUACUGCCUAGUAAGUUGCAUAACUCGUCGGGGGAACGACGAGACGAGACAAGACGAGACGAAAGAAACGAUCGCAGAAAGAACGCGAGGCUGACUUGGCGAAAGGGGUGGAGAUCGAGACGAAGACGACACCUCGUUUACGUGUGAAACGAUUUUCGUCGAGCAACGUUCCAAGAGAUCUUGAUUUUCGAGUGCAGUCUCUCGAUUGGGACAAAAACGAUUCAGGGAAUGUUUGUGAACUGUUGGCUCGUGAAUACGCGCUUUUAAAAGUUCCCAAAAUCAGGAAUACAUGAAUAUUUUUGAACAGACAAUAGAAAAUUCGUUGGUAAAUGUUUGUAAAUUGUUCCUAAAAUCAGAGAUAAAAGGAUAUUUUUGAAUU